rnacentral:rRNA from 1 species
CUCCUACGGGGGGCAGCAGUGAGGAAUAUUGGUCAAUGGACGAGAGUCUGAACCAGCCAAGUAGCGUGAAGGAUGACUGCCCUAUGGGUUGUAAACUUCUUUUAUAUGGGAAUAAAACGUUCCACGUGUGGGAUUUUGUAUGUACCAUAUGAAUAAGGAUCGGCUAACUCCGUGCCAGCAGCCGCGGUAAUACGGAGGAUGCGAGCGUUAUCCGGAUUUAUUGGGUUUAAAGGGUGCGUAGGCGGGCCUUCAGGCCGGCGGUAAAAUU